rnacentral:rRNA from 1 species
UACGGAGGGUGCGAGCGUUGUCCGGAUUUACUGGGCGUAAAGGGCGCGUAGGCGGUCCGUCACGCGUGCCGUGAAAGCCCGGGGCUCAACCCCGGGUCGGCGGUGCGAACGGGGGGACUGGAGCACACCAGAGGCAAGUGGAAUUCCGGGUGUAGCGGUGGAAUGCGUAGAGAUCCGGAAGAACACCGGUGGCGAAGGCGGCUUGCUGGGGUGUGGCUGACGCUGAGGCGCGACAGCGUGGGGAGCAAACAGG